rnacentral:rRNA from 1 species
AAGACCUUGCGCUCUUGGAGCGGCCGAUGCCUGAUUAGCUUGUUGGUAAGGUAAAAGCUUACCAAGGCUUCGAUCAGUAGCUGGUCUGAGAGGACGGCCAGCCACACUGGGACUGAGACACGGCCCAGACUCCUACGGGAGGCAGCAGUGGGGAAUUUUGGACAAUGGGGGCAACCCUGAUCCAGCCAUGCCGCGUGAGUGAAGAAGGCCUUCGGGUUGUAAAGCUCUUUCAGCCGGAACGAAACGGUUACGGUUAAUACCCGUGAUUACUGACGGUACCGGAAGAAGAAGCACCGGCUAACUACGUGCCAGCAGCCGCGGUAAUACGUAGGGUGCGAGCGUUAAUCGGAAUUACUGGGCGUAAAGCGUGCGCAGGUGGUUUUGUAAGUCAGAUGUGAAAGCCCCGGGCUCAACCUGGGAACU